rnacentral:rRNA from 1 species
GAUGAACGCUAGCGGCAGGCCUAACACAUGCAAGUCGAGGGGUAGCAGGAGUAAGCUUGCUUAAUGGCUGACGACCGGCGCACGGGUGCGUAAGGCGUAUGCAACCUACCUUAUACUGGGGUAUAGCCCGGAGAAGCUCGGAUUAAUCACCACUAGUACUAAUUAAUCGACUGGGUUAUUAGUUAAAGCAUUGCGGUAGAAGAUGGGCAUGAGUCCUAUUAGCUAGAUGGUGAGGUAACGGCUCACCAUGGCUACGAUAUGUAUGGGGCCUGGGAGGGUGGUCCCCCACACUGGUACUGAGACACGGACCAGACUCCUACGGGAGGCAGCAGUGAGUAAUAUUGGUCAAUGGGCGCAAGCCUGAACCAGCCAUGCCGCGUGCAGGAAGAAUGCCCUAUGGGUUGUAAACUGCUUUUAUUUGGGAAUAAACCUCUUUACGUGUAGAGAGCUGAAGGUACCAAAUGAAUAAGCACCGGCUAACUCCGUGCCAGCCGCCGCCGUAA